GAUGAACGCUGGCGGCGUGCUUAACACAUGCAAGUCGAACGAAGCAGGAGGGUGCUUGCACCUUCCUGACUGAGUGGCGGACGGGUGAGUAACACGUGGAUAAUCUGCCCUGCACAGGGGGACAACAGCUAGAAAUGGCUGCUAAUACCGCAUAAGCCUACAGCCUCGCAUGAGGGAGUAGGAAAAGAAAUUCGGUGCAGGAUGAGUCCGCGUCUGAUUAGCUAGUUGGAGGGGUAAAAGCCCACCAAGGCAAUGAUCAGUAGCCGGCCUGAGAGGGCGACCGGCCACAUUGGGACUGAGACACGGCCCAA
rnacentral:rRNA from 1 species